GGAUGUGAAGGCCAUCUGGCUGCAACAUCUGUUACUCUCUGAUUGUCAGGGUUAAUUCAGCUGAUCUGGCUGGCAAGGCAGGUGACUCCUUCCUCCUAUAUCAUUCCAUGUGUGCCCCUCUUGAAGCUGUGCACGCAGAAGGAGAGGGUGGCCUUCCUCCAUAAACUGACAGAUCUUCAGCUGGGGUAUGCAAGUUAGCUGCUAUCCUCUGCUUGAACCUUCAAAUAGGCUCUCAAAUAGAACAUGCUAUUGCUUAGACACUAUUGCCAUUCUCCUAAAAACAUUCUUGUAAAAAUUAUACAUACAGCUAGUAAUUGUAUAAAUUA
rnacentral:snRNA from 1 species